rnacentral:rRNA from 1 species
UGCAAGUCGAGGGGUAACAUUUCUUUCGGGAAGAUGACGACCGGCGCACGGGUGAGUAACGCGUAUGCAACCUACCUUUUACAGAGGAAUAGCCCAGAGAAAUUUGGAUUAAUACCUUAUAGUACAUAGAAUUCGCAUGUUUUCUAUGUUAAAGUUUCGGCGGUAAAAGAUGGGCAUGCGUGACAUUAGAUUGUUGGCGGGGUAACGGCCCACCAAGUCUACGAUGUCUAGGGGUUCUGAGAGGAUGAUCCCCCACACUGGUACUGAGACACGGACCAGACUCCUACGGGAGGCAGCAGUGAGGAAUAUUGGUCAAUGGGCGCAAGCCUGAACCAGCCAUCCCGCGUGAAGGAAGACUGCCCUAUGGGUUGUAAACUUCUUUUAUGUACCAAGAAUGUGAGCUACGUGUAGCUUUUUGACGGUAGUACAUGAAUAAGCAUCGGCUAACUCCGUGCCAGCAGCCGCGGUAAUACGGAGGAUGCGAGCGUUAUCCGGAUUCAUUGGGUUUAAAGGGUGCGUAGGCGGCUUCUUAAGUCAGUGGUGAAAUCCUGCGGCUCAACCGUAGAACUGCCAUUGAAACUGAGGAGCUUGAAUAUAGUUGAGGUAGGCGGAAUGAGUAGUGUAGCGGUGAAAUGCUUAGAUAUUACUCAGAACACCGAUUGCGAAGGCAGCUUACUAAACUAUUAUUGACGCUGAUGCACGAAAGCGUGGGGAGCGAACAGGAUUAGAUACCCUGGUAGUCCACGCCGUAAACGAUGUUCACUCGCUGUAUGCAAUACACCGUAUGCGGCCAAGCGAAAGUAUUAAGUGAACCACCUGGGGAGUACGUCGGCAACGGUGAAACUCAAAGGAAUUGACGGGGGCCCGCACAAGCGGAGGAACAUGUGGUUUAAUUCGAUGAUACGCGAGGAACCUUACCUGGGCU